UCGACCUACGGGAGGCAGCAGUAGGGAAUCUUCCACAAUGGACGAAAGUCUGAUGGAGCAACGCCGCGUGAGUAAAGAAGUAUUUCGGUAUGUAAAGCUCUAUCAGCAGGGAAGAAGUUGACGGUACCUGAGUAAGAAGCCCCGGCUAACUACGUGCCAGCAGCCGCGGUAAUACGUAGGGGGCAAGCGUUAUCCGGAUUUACUGGGUGUAAAGGGAGCGUAGACGGCAGUGCAAGUCUGAAGUGAAAGCCCCGGGCUUAACCCGGGAAUUGCUUUGGAAACUGUACGGCUGGAGUGCUGGAGAG
rnacentral:rRNA from 1 species